AUUUCUCCAUUCCUUUCUAUCAUCAUCAUCACUCACUUUCACAUUUUUCAUUUUCCAAUUUUCUUUUAUAUUUCCAUUUCUUCUUUUUUCUUUCCAUUGUUUUUUUCUUCCUGAUAGCUAUUUCUUGAUUUUUUCUUUUUGAAACAUGACAUUUUACCAAUUCUAACUCUUAGGAAAAAAUAUGACAAAUUCUACUAAACAACAGACUUAAAUUGGUGAAGUGAGGCAAUGUGACAUAAAUGAGAUGAGACGAGAUAUGAUAAGAUGACUGAGGGGAGGCCAUGUGAGAUGAGAUGAGAGGAAUGAGGUGAGGAAGUGAGGCACUAUGAGAUGUGAUGAUUGAAGUGAGGUGAGGUGAGGUAAGGUGAGGUGAAGUGAGAUGAGAUGAGAUAAAGCAAGGCAAGACAAGGUGAGGUAAGGUAAGUUACAUUAUAAUGCAGUAUGGUAUUUGGUGAGGUGAGGUGAGGUGAGGUGAGGUGAAAUGUGAGGUGCGGUAAGGAGAGGUGAGGUGAGGUGAAAUGUGAGGUGCGGUAAGGAGAGCUGAGGUAAAUUAAGGUGAGGCAAGAUGAAGAGAGGUAAGGUGAGAUGAGGUAAACUAAUGUAAAAAAAAAAAAAAAAAACAAGGCAAGGCAACGUCACAUAUUGCAAGGUAUGAGUAUCUACAUAUCAAGGUUACAAGGUUAUCAAAGUUAUGCCACAGUGAGGUAAGGUAAAAUAAGCUGAGUAAGGCAAGGCAAAAAGAAAGGUAAGGGAGGCAAGGUAAGGCAAGGUAAAUUCAGCAUUAGAAGAUAAGAAAAGUUAUUGUAUAUAGGAAGAAAACAUGCAACUUGGUAUGGUAAGAAAAGUUCGAUAAAGAAAAAGGUAGUGUGAGGUACAACAGAGUAAUCUAAACUAAGGUAGGACUUUAGCAAUGCGGUUACGUUAAGUUAGAUUCAGUAAGAUGAGGUAAGGUACGCCACAGAAAAGCAAGACAAUGCAAGGCAAAGUGACACAGUGAAGUUACGGAAAGUAAAGUAAAGGUAUGGUAAGGUAAAAUUAGUGCUACAAAAACAACAUAUUAGCACAGCAUUAUGAAUAGCUAUUACUUUUCUCCUGAGAGAAACCUAAUCAUUUAACUUGUGGACCUAAAACCACUUUAUAACUCCUGUAAUUUUCCCAGUCUUAUGAUAAAAAAAUCAGAAAAAUAUUAGCGUUUUACAAACAGCAGCUACAAAAGAGAAUCCAUUUAGAAAAUAGUAUUUUCAUACUACACUGAUUUCACCCCUAGUCAUCUGGAAAAUGUAGUGUUCAAUGUACUAUUAUCUUGUGAAAUGUCUCUGCACAUAGAUGGCUCUCAAUGUGUUUGGCCACAAAGGAGUCAAUCAGUAGAACUUGAGACCUAACCUGAAUUCACUUUUCUUUGAGUCUUUUUUUGAUCAUUAAUACUAUCACUCUCAAUGAUAUUAUUAUCAUAGACAUUAUAAUGAUGUAAUCUAAUUGGCAUUGCAAACAACAAUGUAAGAUAAAAGAAAACAUAUCCAAAAAUCAAGGAAAAGGAUAAACAGGUGACUUAGUACUUCUGGAACAAUCUAUGUGUAAAGUCAGUAAAUACACUAAACUCACAUGGGACAUGGUGGCAGCAGGUUUAUAAUUACAAAACCUUAGCACUGAUAUAAAAAAAAUGUAUAACUUGAUUUUAUUUAGUCUAUCUGGCAACUAACAUAACCGAGACUGCUGAAUCAUGUACCCUCUAUUAUUUAAAAUCACCUUUUAUCAAAAUAACUAUUUUUCAGUUGGUAAUAUUACUUACUAAGCCUUUUUGCAACUCUCUUCACUUUUAGAUAAAAAAUUUACCAGUAUAGUUAGAGGCACUCGGCCUUCCUUAACUGUUUCCCUUCUUCAUCAAAAAAGUCCUCCUAUACUUUUUGUGAUCUUAUCAAUAUGAAUGCAAUAUAUGCCUCAACCUCAACACCUCAAUGAUGCUCAAGAUGUGAGCUGCGUUGGAGCUGUGUUGUGAGGCUGGGGAAAGCUGACAGCAGCAGCAGGCUCCUCUUUAACUCCAUCUCCUCCCAUGGGACUGUAUGAUUCACCAUUCUUCUGAUGUGGCUGAGCGGGGGCAAUGUGUGCAGUGUGUUGCGGUUGUGGCGCGGCAAAACCCUGUAUGCUUCUUCCUUCUAAUGUUGGGGUACUCUGUGAAUAAAAGUGUAUGCAUGAUCCUUUAAAGUCUGGCAGGGGGAAUGUGAUAUCCAAAGUAAAUUUUUUAAUCUCCCUUAAAAAAAAAAAUGUUCUCCAAGUCUUAAAAUCACUUCUUUCACAUAUAUAAUAUAGACAAUUUAGGUAUAUAUUCUUGGAAUUAUUAGAAAUUAAAAAACCUAUUUCAUCUUCAAGUACACUUCCCUUUUUCUGUAGCUGUGGCAAAAUUGUAUAAAAGUUCCAGCAAAUACUUCUGUGGUAAACUGCUAAUACUUCAAUGCCCAUUGUAAAUCAUCAUUACACUUACAGAAGAACAAUCAAAAGAAGAAAAAGCAAAUCUUAUACUGUUAUCACUAGCAUAAUCUUUUCACUAGUAGCAGGCACAGCUUAGGCUUACCUGUUUCAUAUAUUCCAUGUCAACAUUAACAAAUUCAAAUGGCGUCUUCAUGCUUUCCUCUAGAGGCAAACUUGCUUGCACUGGUCCUGGCUUUUUAAUCACCUUCCCCUGCACUAUGAAUGUGGGGAAGGUGGAUGCCUCAGGGGUUAUGGGUGUUCCCGCACUCUGAGACUUGCUUACUGCUGCUGGAGUGGUGCUAACUUGUGUGACGUCAGUAGCCGGAGCACAAAAACUAUUUGUUGAGGUGAGGAAGUCAUUUAUUGUGUUGGCUAUGGCAAGGUCUUCAUUGCUGGGAUGCAUGGUGAUAUCUUCGGAAGGAACCAAGCCAGUCACCUGAAGUACUUCAGCUGCCUUUAAUAGGGACUUGACCUCCCCUGCCCCAACAGUCACCUCACCCCUGCAAUGGGCUCUUGAAGGUAAGCAGUCCAUAUUUUUCAAUAAAUAUGCCUAUAUGACAGGAAAUAUAGCAGAAACUGAGUAAUCCCAUACACAUCAAAUUUAUCAAAAAAGAUUUCCAAAUAACAUGAAAAAAACAUGCCAAGAAAUCUAAUAUCCUUACUUAUAGAUAUAAUUUAUUAUGUUCACAAGCUCCUCAAAUUUGACAUCGUGUGGCAUGAUAAUGAUGGGGUGUUGACAUGGGUUAUCCUGUAGUACACCCUUAAAGUAUGGGCUCAUGGCAGACAGCACAGACUGCAAAGUAUAAUAGACACAAUUAAACGUCUAUUAAGCUUCUCAUUAAUUCUCCACCUGAAUUACUUUUGCCAGCUAAUAUAAGCCUUAUUUGCAGUGCGUAAAGAUGAUACUUGUUACCUUGUGGGCCUUAACAGAAUGACCCUGAGCAGUCAGAGUAACAUCCACAAACACUUCAUCUUGGGCAAGAGCUGACAGCACAGUCAUUAAGUGGUUAUUGUGUUGCAGAUGACUCAGGAAACAGACCCAUGUACCUGGCUUUUGUUGCAAGGGAGCAGCUCCAGGGUCAGGUUCACCAAGGAUGGGUUCUGGCACAAGGGUCAUGGGGGAGUCAUUACCCUGGCUGCACUCCACUUCGUCUGAGUCCUCA